GCUUUUUUUGCCAGCGUCUCCAUUGACAGGAACCAGCAAACUUCAGGACUCAAAUAAGCGUCUUAAUUUAUUGAUGCAAAACAGACUUUUCUCUUCCAAGUUCCUUGCAAUCCAGACAAUCCGGAUGCAGAUAACAUCCUGCAUCUAGCAUGCUGAGUUGUCUCCAAAAUCUCUGAAGCCUACGCCAUGUCCUGCUGUUCCUAGAUUAAGGAAAUGGAUGCUUAAGAGAGAUCACAGACCUACCGCUAUACAUGCCAGAAGGAAAAAUUAAACCAGAGGAACUAUCUUGUCAUUCAGCCAUCAGACAUAGAGCCUGGCUUCAAACUCAACUCUCAUUCCAAAACGUGUGUUGAUUUCAAGACAACAUGUCAUAAUAGUAAAAAAAAAGCUUCACAUGUGAGAUAAAUGCAC
ensembl:lncRNA